GGCGCCCAGACUGAAGAAGGACGCGACGCAAGGGCGCAGCGCACUGUUGGCCGAUAUUCAGCAAGGAACGCGCUUAAGGAAAGUCACUCAGAUCAAUGACCGAAGCGCCCCCCAGAUCGAAACCUCAAAAGGAGCCAACAAAGAAGGCGGAGGAGCUGCUGGGAACUCCAGAGGGGGCAACCCCCAGGCCCUGGGAGGCCUCUUUGCAGGGGGCUUUCCUGUGUUGAGACCAGCUGGACAGAGGGAUGGCUCAGGUGGCGGGUCCAGAGCUCCUUCCCCUCGGCUUCCCACCAAGACCAUCAGCAGUCCAGUGAACCCCCCUGCGUCUCCGAGACUGGGAAAUGCAGCGGAAGCAUCAGCCAUUUCCAGACCUGUCCCUCCCCGCCCCAACAUGCCCGCCCCUCCGCCUCC